rnacentral:rRNA from 1 species
GGGGGGGGCGGGCUUACACAUGCAAGUCGAACGGUAACAGGAAGCAGCUUGCUGCUUCGCUGACGAGUGGCGGACGGGUGAGUAAUGUCUGGGAAACUGCCUGAUGGAGGGGGAUAACUACUGGAAACGGUAGCUAAUACCGCAUAACGUCGCAAGACCAAAGAGGGGGACCUUCGGGCCUCUUGCCAUCGGAUGUGCCCAGAUGGGAUUAGCUAGUAGGUGGGGUAACGGCUCACCUAGGCGACGAUCCCUAGCUGGUCUGAGAGGAUGACCAGCCACACUGGAACUGAGACACGGUCCAGACUCCUACGGGAGGCAGCAGUGGGGAAUAUUGCACAAUGGGCGCAAGCCUGAUGCAGCCAUGCCGCGUGUAUGAAGAAGGCCUUCGGGUUGUAAAGUACUUUCAGCGGGGAGGAAGGCGAUAAGGUUAAUAACCUUGUCGAUUGACGUUACCCGCAGAAGAAGCACCGGCUAACUCCGUGCCAGCAGCCGCGGUAAUACGGAGGGUGCAAGCGUUAAUCGGAAUUACUGGGCGUAAAGCGCACGCAGGCGGUCUGUCAAGUCGGAUGUGAAAUCCCCGGGCUCAACCUGGGAACUGCAUUCGAAACUGGCAGGCUAGAGUCUUGUAGAGGGGGGUAGAAUUCCAGGUGUAGCGGUGAAAUGCGUAGAGAUCUGGAGGAAUACCGGUGGCGAAGGCGGCCCCCUGGACAAAGACUGACGCUCAGGUGCGAAAGCGUGGGGAGCAAACAGGAUUAGAUACCCUGGUAGUCCACGCCGUAAACGAUGUCGACUUGGAGGUUGUGCCCUUGAGGCGUGGCUUCCGGAGCUAACGCGUUAAGUCGACCGCCUGGGGAGUACGGCCGCAAGGUUAAAACUCAAAUGAAUUGACGGGGGCCCGCACAAGCGGUGGAGCAUGUGGUUUAAUUCGAUGCAACGCGAAGAACCUUACCUACUCUUGACAUCCAGAGAACUUAGCAGAGAUGCUUUGGUGCCUUCGGGAACUCUGAGACAGGUGCUGCAUGGCUGUCGUCAGCUCGUGUUGUGAAAUGUUGGGUUAAGUCCCGCAACGAGCGCAACCCUUAUCCUUUGUUGCCAGCGGUUAGGCCGGGAACUCAAAGGAAACUGCCAGUGAUAAACUGGAGGAAAGGUGGGGAUGACGUCAAGUCAUCCUGGCCCUUACGAGUAGGGCUACCCCCGUGCUACAAUGGCGCCAUCAAAAAGAAACAACCCUCCCAAAACAACCGGACCUCUAAAAGGCGGCCGAAGCCCGGAUUGGAAGCCGGCACCCGACUCCCCGAUAUCGGAACCCCGGUAAUCCGGGGAUAAAAAUGCCCCUGUAAAAAACUUCUCCGGGCCUUGGCCACCCG